AUUGAACGCUAGCGGCAUGCUUUACACAUGCAAGUCGAACGGAGUGGCGGACGGGUGAGUAAUCUAUCGGAACGUGCCCAAUAUCGGGGGAUAACUACGAGAAAGCGUGGCUAAUACCGCUUACUAUUGGAUCGGCCGAUGUCGGAUUAGGUAGUUGGUGGGGUAAAGGCUCACCAAGGCAACGAUCCGUAGCUGGUCUGAGAGGACGACCAGCCACACUGGGACUGAGACACGGCCCAGACUCCUACGGGAGGCAGCAGUGGGGAAUUUUGGACAAUGGGGGAAAGCCUGAUCGAGCCAUGCCGCGUGUAUGAUGAAGGCUUUCGGGUGGUAAAGUUCUUUUGGUAGAGAAGCGGUAUCUGCAGAAUAAGCACCGGCUAACUACGUGCCAGCAGCCGCGGUAAUUC
rnacentral:rRNA from 1 species